rnacentral:rRNA from 1 species
ACACGACUACAUUAGAUACCCGGGUAGUCCUAGCCGUAAACGAUACUCGCUAGGUGUCGGCCACGGUGCGACCGUUGUCGGUGCCGUAGGGAAGCCGUGAAGCGAGCCACCUGGGAAGUACGGCCCCAAGGCUGAAACUUAAAGGAAUUGGCGGGGGAGCACCACAACGGGUGGAGCUUGCGGUUUAAUUGGAUUCAACGCCGGAAAACUCACCGGGGGCGACAGCAAUAUGUAGGUCAAGCUAAAGACUUUACCAGAAUCGCUG